rnacentral:rRNA from 1 species
GCUAUACAUGCAGUCGAGCGAAUGGAUUAAGAGCUUGCUCUUAUGACGUUAGCGGCGGACGGGUGAGUAACACGUGGGUAACCUGCCCAUAAGACUGGGAUAACUCCGGGAAACCGGGGCUAAUACCGGAUAACAUUUUGAACCGCAUGGUUCGAAAUUGAAAGGCGGCUUCGGCUGUCACUUAUGGAUGGACCCGCGUCGCAUUAGCUAGUUGGUGAGGUAACGGCUCACCAAGGCAACGAUGCGUAGCCGACCUGAGAGGGUGAUCGGCCACACUGGGACUGAGACACGGCCCAGACUCCUACGGGAGGCAGCAGUAGGGAAUCUUCCGCAAUGGACGAAAGUCUGACGGAGCAACGCCGCGUGAGUGAUGAAGGCUUUCGGGUCGUAAAACUCUGUUGUUAGGGAAGAACAAGUGCUAGUUGAAUAAGCUGGCACCUUGACGGUACCUAACCAGAAAGCCACGGCUAACUACGUGCCAGCAGCCGCGGUAAUACGUAGGUGGCAAGCGUUAUCCGGAAUUAUUGGGCGUAAAGCGCGCGCAGGUGGUUUCUUAAGUCUGAUGUGAAAGCCCACGGCUCAACCGUGGAGGGUCAUUGGAAACUGGGAGACUUGAGUGCAGAAGAGGAAAGUGGAAUUCCAUGUGUAGCGGUGAAAUGCGUAGAGAUAUGGAGGAACACCAGUGGCGAAGGCGACUUUCUGGUCUGUAACUGACACUGAGGCGCGAAAGCGUGGGGAGCAAACAGGAUUAGAAUUUUUUUUUUUCCAAA